GAUGAACGCUGGCGGCGUGCCUAAUACAUGCAAGUCGAGCGAACGGACGAGAAGCUUGCUUUUCUUAUGUUAGCGGCGGACGGGUGAGUAACACGUGGAUAACCUACCUAUAAGACUGGGAUAACUUCGGGAAACCGGAUCUAAUACCGGAUAAUAUUUUGAACCUCAUGGUUCAAAAGUGAAAGCCGGUCUUGCUGUCACUUAUAGAUGUAUCCGCGCUGCAUUAGCUAGUUGGUAAGGUAACGGCUUACCAAGGCAACGAUGCAUAGCCGACCUGAGAGGGUGAUCGGCCACACUGGAACUGAGACACGGUCCAGACUCCUACGGGAGGCAGCAGUAGGGAAUCUUCCGCAAUGGGCGAAAGCCUGACGGAGCAACGCCGCGUGAGUGAUGAAGGUCUUCGGAUCGUAAAACUCUGUUAUUAGGGAAGAACAUAUGUGUAAGUAACUGUGCACAUCUUGACGGUACCUAAUCAGAAAGCCACGGCUAACUACGUG
rnacentral:rRNA from 1 species